AAAAAAAAACAAACUUCACUGACCAAACCAUCGCUCCGGUUUGUUUACUUCUUAAACACUGUUUAGUUGGCAAUAGCUUGAGUGACUUGUGUGAGUGUAUUGGGAGAAUGAGUGUACAUCGCUUGUAAGCGAGGGGUGCGUGAAUGUGUGAUUGGUUGAUUAUUUAGUUCUGUUUUGUGAUUUUGUUAGGAAAAAGGUCAUCUCAUCGUUGGAGCAUGCCAACGAUUGAGAAUGGCGAACUUUAAGAUUUUUCUUCGGUGGAAGCACGCAAUCUUUGGAGUUUCCAAAGUAGCUUCCAUAUCCGAAGAAAUUUCGGGCUAAUUUAAGAUGGAUAUUGUUUUCAUUCCUUUUUACUCGGGUAAAGUUCUGAGGUCGGAAUGAACAAUAUUCAUCGAGUUAUUUUUUCGACGUAGGUCGAUAGUACGUUUUUUUUUUACAUCUCCAGAAACACUUCUAUUAAUGAGAAGUGGAGGAUGUAAGGAUUUUAGUUAUAGUUUUGGGUAAUUUUGAGUAUAUUUUUUCUUCAUUUUGUGUGAAUAGGAUUGUCAACUAAUAGUAGUUCUUGAAGGUCAGAUCGAUUGAUGUAUUUUCGAGUUUUUCUUGUUUCUCAGUUCAGUAGUUAGUUAGUUGCUGUAAUGCCAGUAAUUUUUGAUGGGCGUUUAGAGUUAACCUUUUACAGUGGUUCGCAUGACAUUUCGCUGGAGACCGGAGCUGUAAAGCGUUGAUGGUCAGUUACAGACAGAUUACCCGAUCUGAUACUGGAGAUAGAGGAUGAGUCAAUUCAGUUUGACGAUGACCACAUAUGACCCCGAAAAUGUUAGUGAACAUUCUGCGAAGGGAGACUCUAUUUUCGCCUUCGAAAAUUUGAUUGGUUUAUGCCAAUCAAAUUUUCGAAAAUUCAGCAGGGAAUGAUGUAGCGUGGUACUGGUUUCGACAUUUGGAAGCCCCUCGUUUAGUUAUUUUGAAGUUCAGAUUCUACACCAGCUCACUUGUGUGAAUCGGAGCCUCUCUCUUCUUUCAAUGUAUUGGAUGUAAGGCAACGCGAGUGCCGCUCCUCUUUUUAGAUUUGAGCAACUUGGCAUAAUGGGUGCUGGAUGUGAUUCGACGGCUGUGUUUUAGCCAAGACACCCAAAUACCAAUACACCCGAAAGACUCAUGCUUUCCUUUUUUCAUUUUUUUCGUUUGGAUAUUUCCCCCAAAUAGCAGAGUCUUUCGGCGGAGGUUUUCUUGUUCUUGGAACCUCAGAAACCCGGCAAGCGAUUCGAUUUGAACUGCGCUCGGGAGGUUAAAGGUGAUCGCCCGAGAAUAUUUGAAUAUGAGACCGAUGUAGGGACAAGGGAACUUGGCAUGACUUGCGUGAUUAUUAACUUCGUUAAUAAUUACGCAGUUCCGGUCCUAUUGAUUAGUACGCUGAUCUGAGGACUAAAAAUUAUGUUCUUCCAUUUCAACGUGGACCGUGGAAGAGGUCGGAGUGGUGUUAUUUUCUUGAACCGCGAAUUUCACAAAAGCUGGAUAGUCGAUAGAUUUAGGCAAAGUUGAAGUUGUACCCUCCCGUGCAUCCGUUAAAUACAUCCGGAGGAAGCGCCGCUACUGACCCCACGGAGUCAACGUUGGAAUUGACCAAAAAUCCAGCCAAGGCUCAAACCUUUCCGCCUGGUUCGAAGACUGCGCUGCGCGAACAAUACUGGCAGCCGCAACAGGCGUAAACCGGAAGUUAGGACCGCUCAUCGCACGCCCAGCUAGGAGUAGAACCCGUCGACGUAGCGAAUCACAUAAAUCCAUGGUAGUGAGUACCUUUUUUCCUUAUCCAUUAUUAACAGGCGCAUGUAGGAUAAGUGAUAUUGAGCAAAACGCUAUAAAUAGCUACUAACCACGAAAGCCACACAAUUCAAAGCCAUACACACACAAAUAAUGCAUGCAGUGGAGAGCUCACUCCAUAUGACUGUGUAAUUUCAAUCGCUAUAAGCGAAGCCAUUCAUGAAUAGCCUAACGGAGUAAAUAGCAAGCGCGCCGUCUUCUCAACCUAGAUGUGAUGAGAUCGAGACUUGGGAGGAAAAUUAGAGUAGAGUAAUGAAAUUUGAUUAAUGUUCUUAGAGUAAAUAAAUUUUCUAUGUUGAUGGAUGUUCUUUCCUGAUUGACUAAAUGUUCAAUGUAGAAGAGAAGUGUUGAUGAAGCUAAUUGAUUUAAGUGAUUGAGAAUGUUGUGAGAGAUGUUUUGAUAUUUAAUGUAGUGUAAAAUAAACUUUUCCGUUCGAUUUAUAUGUUAAGGUCUAAGAAACAAAUGUGUAUUUACUGGCUCGCGGUGGCCUAAACACCGACGAACCCGUUCACUCUUCUUUUUGUGUUAAUUAGGUCACGAGUCAGGGUGGAGACUCCUUUUUUUGUUUACUUCCACUCUCACUCCUACGCUCCGAAGCGAGCUCUGAAGUUGAGGGGAAGAUCAUUAUUAGUAGGUCCAGUGAGGAGAUCUCAGCAUAAGUGGUAGUCAGUGGGAUCGACCCAGACUUCCUUGUGUCUGCAUUACGUCUCGUGGACAAACGAUAUCGCGGGUUCUCCCGAGAGUGCAGGAAAAAAGUCGCGAAGCUAACCGGGUUGGUGAGGAGAAAAGGACAAACCCGCCCUCAGUGGGUGUCUCAUUGCCGGGCAAGGAAAAUAACACGGCGGUCGGUCUCCCUCACGGGAGUGGCGCUUAAGCCGACCGCUUAUCUGCGCAAAUUCCCCGGUAGCGACGGGCUCGCGC